GAUGAACGCUGGCGGCGUGCCUAAUACAUGCAAGUCGAGCGAAUGGAUUAAGAGCUUGCUCUUAUGAAGUUAGCGGCGGACGGGUGAGUAACACGUGGGUAACCUGCCCAUAAGACUGGGAUAACUCCGGGAAACCGGGGCUAAUACCGGAUAACAUUUUGAACCACAUGGUUCGAAAUUGAAAGGCGGCUUCGGCUGUCACUUAUGGAUGGACCCGCGUCGCAUUAGCUAGUUGGUGAGGUAACGGCUCACCAAGGCAACGAUGCGUAGCCGACCUGAGAGGGGGAUCGGCCACACUGGGACUGCGACACGGCCCAGACUCCUACGGGAGGCAGCAAUAGGGAAUCUUCCGCAAUGGACGAAAGUCUGACGGAGCAACGCCGCGUGAGUGAUGAAGGCUUUCGGGUCGUAAAACUCUGUUGUUAGGGAAGAACAAGUGCUAGUUGAAUAAGCUGGCACCUUGACGGUACCUAACCAGAAAGCCACGGCUAACUACGUGCCAGCAGCCGCCGCAG
rnacentral:rRNA from 1 species